UGAGGAAUAUUGCGCAAUGGGGGCAACCCUGACGCAGCGACGCCGCGUGAGUGAGGAAGGCCUUCGGGUCGUAAAGCUCUGUCAAAGGGAAAGAAGAGCAUGGUGGCUAAUACCUGCCAUGUUUGACGGUACCCUUAAAGGAAGCACCGGCUAACUCCGUGCCAGCAGCCGCGGUAAUACGGAGGGUGCAAGCGUUGUUCGGAAUCACUGGGCGUAAAGGGCGCGUAGGCGGUUUGAUAAGUCAGAUGUGAAAGCCCACGGCUGAACUGGGGAAGUGCAUUUGAAACUG
rnacentral:rRNA from 1 species